CUUGGCACUGGAAGAAUUCACAGACUAAUUAUUGAAGAUCGUGAGUCUCCUGGUGUCAACUA
rnacentral:pre_miRNA from 2 species